rnacentral:rRNA from 1 species
GAUGAACGCUGGCGGCGUGCCUAAUACAUGCAAGUCGAACGCACAGCGAAAGGUGCUUGCACCUUUCAAGUGAGUGGCGAACGGGUGAGUAACACGUGGAUAACCUACCUCAAGGUUGGGGAUAACAUUUGGAAACAGAUGCUAAUACCGAAUAAAACUUAGUAUCGCAUGAUACCAGGUUAAAGGCGCUACGGCGUCACCUAGAGAUGGAUCCGCGGUGCAUUAGUUAGUUGGUGGGUAAAGGCUUACCAAGACAUGAUGCAUAGCCGAGUUGAGAGACUGAUCGGCCACAUUGGGACUGAGACACGGCCCAAACGUCCUACGGGAGCUGCAGUAGGGAAUC